rnacentral:rRNA from 1 species
GACGAACGCUGGCGGCGUGCCUAAUACAUGCAAGUCGAGCGGAAGUUGGAGAGCUUGCUCUUCAACUUUAGCGGCGGACGGGUGAGUAACACGUGGGCAACCUGCCCUGCAGAUCGGGAUAACUCCGGGAAACCGGUGCUAAUACCGAAUAGUUUUCGCCACCUCCUGGUGGCGUACGGAAAGACGGUUUCGGCUGUCACUGCAGGAUGGGCCCGCGGCGCAUUAGCUAGUUGGUGGGGUAACGGCCCACCAAGGCGACGAUGCGUAGCCGACCUGAGAGGGUGAUCGGCCACACUGGGACUGAGACACGGCCCAGACUCCUACGGGAGGCAGCAGUAGGGAAUCUUCCGCAAUGGACGAAAGUCUGACGGAGCAACGCCGCGUGAGUGACGAAGGUUUUCGGAUCGUAAAACUCUGUUGUGAGGGAAGAACAAGUACCAAUUAAUUACUGGUACCUUGACGGUACCUCACCAGAAAGCCACGGCUAACUACGUGCCAGCAGCCGCGGUAAGAC